AUCUUGGCUUAUUCCGUAAUUAUAGGCUAGUAUGCGGGCUGGCGUGUCAUCCAGAAAGUGAAGGAUGAGAUUUAUCAUGGUCAACUUGUAGAAUGAGAAGCGAAUCAGCAGAAGAUGGAUGAGCGGAGUCA
ensembl:ncRNA W01C8.12 ncRNA